UACGUAGGGACCAAGCGUUGUUCGGAUUUACUGGGCGUAAAGGGCGCGUAGGCGGCAAUUCAAGUCAGCUGUGAAAUCUCUGGGCUUAACCCAGAACGGCCAGCUGAUACUGCGUUUGCUAGAGUGCAGAAGGGGCAAUCGGAAUUCUUGGUGUAGCGGUGAAAUGCGUAGAUAUCAAGAGGGAACACCUGAGGUGAAGACGGGUUGCUGGGCUGACACUGACGCUGAGGCGACGAAAGCCAGGGGAGCAAACGGG
rnacentral:rRNA from 1 species